rnacentral:tRNA from 1 species
ACACUGGUGGUUCAGUGGUAGAAUCCUCACCUCCCACAUGGGAGACCUGGGCUUGAUUCCCAACCAAUGCA